GUAACACGUAGUCAACAUGCCCAGGGGACGAGGAUAACCUCGGGAAACUGAGGAUAAACCACGAUAGGUCAUGAUUUCUGGAAUGAUUCAUGGCUCAAACCUACAUGGCCCCUGGAUUGGACUGCGGCCGAUCAGGCUGUUGGUGAGGUAAUGGCCCACCAAACCUGUUACCGGUACGGGCUCUGAGAGGAGGAGCCCGGAGAUGGGCACUGAGACAAGGGCCCAGGCCCUAUGGGGCGCAGCAGGCGCGAAACCUCUGCAAUAGGCGAAAGCCUGACAGGGUUACUCUGAGUGAUUUCCGCUAAGGGAAUCUUUUGGCACCUCUAAAAAUGGUGCAGAAUAAGGGGUGGGCAAGUCUGGUGUCAACCGCCGCGGUAAUACCAGCACCCCCAAUGGUCGGGACGAUUAUGGGGCCUAAACCAUCCUAACCGGUCCUACAAUUCCUUCCGUUAAUUCCAGCUUCCUAAACAAAGGGCCGCGGAAAAAUACCAACGGGCCU
rnacentral:rRNA from 1 species